rnacentral:lncRNA from 1 species
UUUUUUUUUUUUUUUUUUUUUUUUUUGCUUUUUAGGCUGCGCCUGCAGCAUAUGGAGGUUCCCAGGCUACAGGAUGAAUUGGAGUUGUAGCCACUGGACUACACCACAGCCACAGCAAUGCCGGAUCCACUGGGCAAGGCCAGGGAUCAAACCUUCGUCCUUAUGGAUCCUAGUUGGAUUCAUUUCUGCUGCGCCACAACAGGAACUCCAUCAUUCGUUGUCUUUUUGAUACUAGCCAUUGCGACAGGUAUGAUGUUGCAUCUUUUGCUUUGCAUUUCCCUGAUGAUUCCAAUGUUGAGCAUCUUUUCAUGUGUCUCAGUCCUCUGUAUAUUUUUGAAAGAAUGUCAAUUCAGGUCCUCUGUAUGUAUAUUUUUAAAUCAAAUGUAUGAUCUCUUUGUUUCAUGAAAGCUGAAUUGACAGGAAAAAUGUUUUCUAGUUAACUGAGGUUUCUGAUAAUUUGACUUUUAAUCUCUUGAAGUGUCCUUUUGAUAUAUGUUGGGCCUUUUGCUUUAGACUUUUUAAACUUUCCAGUGACUGGUGAAUCAGAAACACCUUAUGAGUUAUGUCCCCCAGGCACUGAGCUAUAAAAGCAGGAUCACUUCCUUACCCCUAAUUGGGAACUAAAGUAGUUGGAUUGUAUUUAAAAGUCUUUUGGAAGGAAUUGAAUUGAAAAGUAGGUGAACCUAAGCACUCUGAAAGUGAGUGACAGAGAACAAAGGGCAGAUAAAAAGACAAGCAAAAUGAUUUUGCUUCAUACCAGGGAAGACAUUUGGCACUUUCCAUUUAAAAGGCUCUUUGUGACCAUUAAUUAGCUAAUCUAACAAUCUCCUGGUGGAAUACAUCAGCAUUAUCAUCACUUGGUGCAGAUGCAAAACAGGAAAUACUGUAAGAUUCAGGGGCUUUAGCAAGAACUGAAAGGUAAUGAAAUGGCAUGGUAAGAAUGAGAACUGGGUCUCUGUUGGGCAAUUCUAUUCAGAGUCCACCAGGCCGGAGUCUCUGGAGUGUAGCCACCCUAGUGCUCUGUGAUUGCACAAAGGCACCCUGAGGAAUGCCUGACUCUGAUAAGGAAAGAUGAGCUCCAUGCUGCUUUGAAAGCUGAACAGAAUAUGUGAAUCGAUGAGGCAGGGAGAUGGAGAUGCUAUCUUUGCCCCAGAUCUCCAUGGAGAGAAAGACUUGGUUUAGUUUUCUCUGAAAGGGGACACACACUAAGGAAAAUUAGCAAUUGGCCUUAGUAAGGGACGUUACGUUGUCCUUGCCUUACAACAGAGAGUAACAGAGAGGGACCAAGGGAAUGAAGCCUGUGUGGGUUGGUUUUUGUUUUUGCUUUUUGUUUUUUGUCUUUUUAGGGCUGCACCUGCAGCAUAUGGACGUUCCCAGGCUAGGGGUCCAUUCGGAACUAUAGCUGCUGGCUUAUGCCACAGCCACAGCAAUGCCAGAUCCAAGCCGCAUCUGUGACCUACACCACAGCUCAUGGCAACGCCAGAUCCUCAACCCUCCGAGCAAGGCCAGGGAUCGAACCCGCAACCUCCUGGUUCCUAGUCAAAUUCGUUUCCCCUGCUCCACGAAGGGAACUCCAAGCCUGUGUGUUUUGAACUGCAAAUUUCCAGAAUAUGCUUUAAAACAACUCACUGGGGUCAUCAGAAGAAGAAAAAAAAAUCACUGAAGUUUGCCUAAAAAACUGAGAUAAAAAUCUGAGAAGGAGCUGGUUCACUUGAAAGAAGGCCAGAAUUAGUUAACCAUUUCCUCUUCUUCCUCACACUAGCCAGUCAAUUUUCAGUCAAUUUAUUGAAGAAACAAAAUGACAAAAUGCUGUUAAACAGUUUGUAAAGAAAUCAGAUUAGAUGACAGGCGGUUGUUUUUUUUUCCUGAAAUUUGCAAAUAGUCUGUAGUAUUAAGUUCCCCUCUGACAGUCAAAAGGUUUUCCUAUUAUCAAGUUUGUAAAGAAACAAAUGGACUCCUAACAUUCUUACAUCAAAAGAAAUCCAGAUAUAUUAUAAAUUUAAAUGAAAAAAGAAAAGUACCAGAAGAAAAUACAUAUGGCUAAAUAAUGUGGUGAUGGAAAACAUUCAUUUAAGCUUGUCACAUAGAUAAAUAUGUGGAAAAUUAAUAUAUUUUCUAUGUAAACAUGAAAAACACUGUAAAUAGUUAAGACAAAGGAUAAACUUGGAUGUGUGAUGGGAUGGAGGUGUUAGCUAAUGCUAUGGUUGUAAUCACUUUGUAAUAUAUAAAUGUACCAAAUAACUUCCUUGUAUGCUUUAAACCUACACAGUGUUAUAAAGUAAAGCUAAGCAAAAAAUAAAAACAAAAUAAUUUGAAAGAAAAAAAUAAAAAAUAACUUGUAGAAGCAUUUUUAGUGUAUCAUUAAUAUCACCAAUGGAUUUUCAUCAUUAAUAUACAAAGAGUUCCUAAAAAUCAAUGAUAGAUGAAUAUCAAAUAGAAAAAUUGACAAAUAAAAUUAAUAACAAAAGAGGAAAUAUGAUUGGUAAAAUUUUUUAAAUUCCUAACCUUAUUAGUAAUCAAAGAAGAUUUCGUUAAAAUGUAUAAUACAAUAAUUAGACUAACGAGGAAGAAAAAUAGUACGACUAGUGUUAGCAUGCAUUUAAAUAAAAAGUAUAUCCUAAAAAUUGAAUUGGUAGUUAAUAACAAGUGUCUAGGAGGCAAUAUAGCAAUAAACUCUAAAAAUAUACAUGCCUUUUGGCACAGAUAUGCUAUUGAAAGAAACAGAUCUUGAGGGAAAAAAAUCACAAAACACAGAUCUAUGUAUAAAGAUAUUUAACAAAGCAGUGUUCAUAAUAUCCCAAAUAACGGAAACAAUAGUCAUUGAUUGGCUAAGUUAUUAUACAUUGUAUAAGGAAGUACUACAUAGCCAUUAAGAAGAGGAGGAGGAGGGAGCAACAGUUUACUAUCCUAUAAACAACAUUAGAUUAGUUCUGCCAAAGAUGCUGAGUCAAUUCCCAGGGAUCCAUAUAAAUUGGCAAAAACUCUGUGGACCUGACAACCUAGUACUUAUUUAGUCUACACUGAGAGAACUACUUGGUGGUUAUUCUGAGGCAACAUGCUUUGGGAAGAGCUUAAAGCUGCUGCCAUCCUUGCUCCUUUGGCUAUCCUCAGGCUCCAAGGCAAGAUAAUCCUGAAAAUAUUCAUCUAACAAGUACUGACGAAUUAAUUUAUAUUUGGAGAAUGAGAAUCAUCUUUAUUGAAAGAACAGCAUGUAAAUAUUGUAUUCAGUAGUUUCCAACAGGUAUGACCAUGCCUUUUAGUCUUGCUCUAAAGUAGUAAAUUGUGUAGGUACCUUUUCAUAUAAAACAUAUGAGACUCCUCUAAAUACAUACUUAUAUAUAAUAUAUAUAAUACAUAUUUCAAAUUUGUAUAAGUAGAAACUCAAGGAAGUCAUAGAAUUUGCAUAAGCAACAUAGCUAGAAAAGCAAAAACAUGGUGCUUGUGGAGACCACUGGACACAGCUCCAUGUUUGCUGCCUUUUUCUUUUCAUUCUGUAAUCAACCAUUCAAAUACUAUUGCAAGCAGCCCAUUACAUAUUUGAACCUUAGUGGUAUUCCAGAAUUUCCAGAAUUAUGUCAGUAUUAUAGAUAACAGUGAUUAUCUCAAGGGAUACAGUAAAUUCUCCACCUUUCAAAGAUCAGAUUUUUGUAGUUCUGUAAUGUUUUGUUUUCUAAACAAAAACAACAAAGCAUGUUUUGACGUAAAAAAGCAAAGCUCAGACACUUAGGAGAAAAAUGAAAAUGGAGGAGGCCAGGAGUAGUUGAGCUGAGGCUCCUCUGUUAGUGUGGAAAUAACCAACAUGAAUGACAUGUGACAUGUUAUUCAGUAACGGACUGGAGUGCAAUGGCAUUCUCCCUUUCCCUCUAUCAAAUCACUGUGUGUGUGUGUGUGUGUGUGUGUGUGUGUGUGCGCAUGCGUGUAUCUGGAUGAGAACUGUUCACAAUCAGUGUGCAAUUUUAAUCUCUAAAGCUGAACAAUGAACAUAAUCAUUACAGACUUCCUUUUGGAUACAGUUGAAAUGAGGAAAAGAUUUAUCAUGCUUUUCUUCUUUGUGGUCACCAACAUUCAAGUUUGUUUUUAAUCUACAUAUUUCUAAAACUUCUCUGCAAAUGCUCUCCCAUUUCUAGAACACCAAAAGCUUGCCUCCUCAUAUCCUUCCUAACCAUGCCCACUUGAUCAUCCUUCCUUCCUUACCCAUCCCAUCAGACACUUAAUUGUUUAACGCACUGUAACUGAUGCCUUCUUGUUCUAUUUCAGGGAUCAUUUCUCUCAUCAUUCAUUAAGCCUAGAAGUCUAAUACUAGAAGAAACAAUUUUUCCUCCUCUCGAUUUCCUAGAGAAGGAUUUUUGACACCCCUUUUGCGUCUCUCUAUCCCUUUAUUUAGUCUGCUUUCGCCUGAGUUCCCUGGAGCAAUGUUUCUGUUUAAAACCAUCUGGACAAGCUUUGUUCUCUUCGAUCCAUUCCUCUAGGGAGAAGGAUACUUGCAGUGAGCGUUAGUUUUGCUGCUACUCCUAAGGGAAAUGGUUCUUCACCAGGGAAGCUUCCACUAUCUUUUGUUGCCUUGACUGGGUGAUUAAAUCUAACCACCCAGGAUUAGAAAACCCUCUUUCUUAACAGCCCUGAAGCCAUGUCUUCUAGUCUCACCUCUAUGGGUAAUAAAAGAGAAAUUUUGCUUCAUAACCUGAGUAGGGAAAAAAGAUGCUCUUGAUUGUGGCCUUCACAGAUCCUGUUACCCAGCAUAACUCUCAUUUUAAUUUCUAUUCCUCUGGACUUUUUUGGAUUUCAUAGCAUUUAUAAAUCCUUCUCAGGAGUUUCCUGGCAGUUUAGGGGUUAGGAUUUGACAUUUUCACUGCUAGGGUCUGGGUUCAAUCUCUGGUUUGGGAACUGAGAUCCCACUUGAAGCUGCUGCAUGCCACAGCCAAUAGUAGUAGUAGUAAUAAUCUAACUUUCUUUGUCUAGUUUCCUCUGGCUACUGCUUUCCAUUUUCCUUUUUAUUUCUCUGGGUUCUUUGCUUUCUUUCUUCUUCUUUUGGUGGCAACACCAGACUUUUUCUUUUUUUAUUAAUCUUGCCAAACUACAACACCUGUUUCCUCUACUUAGCUGUGGAUUCCUGUGCCAAACCGGUGUAUGAUAUCUAAUACCAACAAAAGAGGUAUUAGAAAAGAAGAGACAAGAAAGAAAACAACAUCGAUGAUUAAAUAGGAUAAUAAAGAUAUUAUUUUAAAUCUAAAAUAAAAGCAUAUUAGUCAAUAAGUGGGUUAUGCCACUUGAGUAGACAUCUGGAAAAAAUAAAUUGGAUUUCUACAUCACGCUUUACACAAAAUAAACAAAGUAGGUUACAUAAUUAAAAUAAUAAGUUAAAUAACACACACUAUAAAAAUAAAUAAAAUAAUAAAACAUCAAAAUUCUCAAAUGAUAGAUUUAAAGUUUGGACUUGAAAAAAUUCUUUUAGUAUGACUUGGGUCAUACUAAAGCUCAAAAAUCAUAAACGAAAAGAUUUUCUAAAUUUAAUUGUAAUAAAAUAAUUUUAAAAUUGUAAUAGUAAAAGGUCUCAAUUAAUAUCAGAUAUUUGACAGUAUUUUUCAAAAAUGACAAGUGCAUGCACCCUUCUUUAUACCAGCCAUUCUAAUCCUAGGAUUCUUUCCACAGGUAUAUAUACUGGGAUAUAUAAGAUAUGACACAUCUAAAAUUUUUUUCAUGUAUUUAAAUGUGUCAUUAAAUGUGAACAUUCAUUUUAGCAUGGUUUAUAUGUACAGUUGACACUUGACAACUUGAAUUUGAACUGGGAGGGUCCAUGUAUGUGUGGAUUUUUUUCAAUAAAAAUAUACUAUAGUACUCUACAGCCCGUGGUUGGUUGAAUCUGCAGAUGCAGAACCACAAAUUUGGAGAAACCAUGGAUGUGGAGGGCUGACUAUAAGGUUAUACUCAGAUUUCAUCUGUGUGACCGGUCAGUGCCCCAAGCCCCAUGUUAUUCAAGGAUCAACCGUACAAAAUAUUGGAGAAUGUAACUGUACUUCGAUAGAGGAUUGAUUCGAUUUUAGUAAAUAAUUGGACAUAAAAAUAAUCGUUCAAGAAACACCAUGGCAAGUUAGUGUUUACUAACAGACUAAUUCACAUAAACUGAUUUACAAUAUAAGUUUUGAAUAAUUUGUUAAAAAAAAUAGUGAAGUAUAGAACAGGAGAUGCAGCAGAUUACCUUGUAGGUUAAAAAGGAAGAUGACGGAAAGGAAGGAAGGAAGAAAGGAAGGAAGGAAGGAAGGAAGGAGAGAGAGAGAGAGAGAGA